AUUUGGGAUGAAAAUGAUGCACGUAAUAAAUCAAACGCCGAUUGCUCUUGCGAAAGAGUGUUACUGUGAUAGUAUCGCUAGUUUCCAUAUCGUAUCUUUAUCCAAUCCGUGAAAGAGGCAGAGACGGAUAUCGCUUGUUUGGGAAGCAAAAGAGGCGGAAACAGGAAGAACGCUACCAAAAACAAACGAAGUGCAAAAGAAAACGGGUCCGGUUCAGCAGAGAGGAUGAAGACAUCAUCAUGGUAGAGGUAGUGGAGAGAUGGGACGAGCUCUUCGGUGUGCAGAGCCUUUCUCUCGCUUGAGGUGCCAAGGCCCGUAUAUGGCAAAACAUAGCAACACGGGUCUCGGCAUCCUCGAGUGGUGUAAGAGAUGGCGAGGACAUCCGCAAAAAAUGGACUUACAUCAAACAGAGCUUAAGAACCAGAGUGGCUGACCAGCGGACAUCCACCGCACAGACUGGCAGGGGAGUUAACACCACACCGGAACUCACCCCCCUGGAACGUUUGCUGUCCCUGAUGGGCCACGAAUGUGUGGGGGGUGUCGAUGCUCCUGUUGUUGGCUUUGGGCCAGAGCCACAGUGUCCACAGCCGCCUCCACUUCAGAUACAGGGGUCCACCUCUAGAAGACAACCUGGCCCCCGUCCUGGCAAGCAUCCUGGACAGACAGGGGCAUCCCUCCAAAUAAAAAUAAAAAACUUUUUUAUAGCAGAAAAUAAUAUUGCAGUUUAAUAAACUUUUUUUUGGUUUACAUUUGUAGUGUUUUAUAUUUUUUAAUGCAUUAUCAUAUUUAAACACACUGAAUAUACAGUAUCAUGUAAUAAUUAUUUUGACACAGUUUGUGUAUAACAUAUUUGUAUACCUACCUACAUACAAUGUUGCUAGAUUAUUUGCAGGUGUUUUCUUUGGCACUGGGAAUAGGCUCCCACAUCCUCCUCACCCUCAGACCCAUCACCUCCUGCUCCCUCAUCACCGGGAUCAUGUCGUUCCCCAGCAACUGGCUGUUCUGGUUGCUGGUGGCCUCUUGUGGCAGCAUUACAUAACAGGAUAAUGCAAUGUUGUGAAGUACACAACAUGCAAUGAUGAUGCGAGCACACUUUGAGGGCCUGUACUGUAGUAACUUAAUUGCUAUAUGAGUGCAAUCCAGUGCCCCUGUACAAACCACAAAAGUAAUUUAAUAUCUCCCACAAAUGUAAUAACCACCUGCCCACAAAUGUAAUAUCUCCCACAAAUGUAAUAACCACCUGUUCACAUAUAUAAUGUCUCCCACAAAUGUAAUAACCACUUGUUCACAUAUAUAAUGUCUCCCACAAAUGUAAUAACCACCUGUUCACAUAUAUAAUGUCUCCCACAAAUGUGGGAGACAUUAUAUAUCCCACCAAAGCGGCACAGACCUUUGUCUUCACAGAUAGGGGGUGGUUGCGUGCAUACCGAGACAUUAGAUGAGGUCGAAGCACAUCACACAAGUAUUCUAUAGUGUUACGAUCGAACCAAAAAUGAUCAACCAGGAGAUGAUCAAUGAGUUGUGUUAGGUCCUGAUGGGGUCUGAAGGAGUAGGGAGUGGGACGCGGGCGCUGAUGGCGUUGUCUUCUUCUUUCUAAAAGUAUCACAAUUGCCUCGAUGCCAGCCAUUGUUAGGGAAGAAGGUUGAUGUGUAGCCUUUAUAUAAUUCUGCUGAUAAUCACAAUUGAAUUGGUGUAGGUGUGUAACUGUUACAUUAAUGAAUUACCGGUAUGCCUGUGUGUGUUUACGUGUAAAUGUGUUAAUGACAUCUUUCAAUCUGCAGCAGAGACAGAGUGA